CAUUGAAGCACCAUUUCUCGUACAAUCACCGAAGUUAAGCAACAUCGAGCCUGGUCAGUAUCUAGAUGGGUAACCGCUUCGGAAUAACAGGUGCUGUAAG